rnacentral:rRNA from 1 species
GAUGAACGCUAGCGGGAGGCUUAACACAUGCAAGUCGUGGGGCAGCACGGGGUAGCAAUACUCUGGUGGCGACCGGCGCACGGGUGAGUAACGCGUAUGCAACCUACCCAGUACAGGGGGAUAGCCCGGAGAAAUUCGGAUUAAUACCCCAUAAUGAUAUUAAGUGGCAUCACUUAAUAUUUAAAGCUUCGGCGGUACUGGAUGGGCAUGCGUAAGAUUAGCUAGUUGGUAGGGUAACGGCCUACCAAGGCUCCGAUCUUUAGGGGUCCUGAGAGGGUGAUCCCCCACACUGGUACUGAGACACGGACCAGACUCCUACGGGUGGCAG